GAAGGGGACAGACAAAAAUGUGAAUUUGUUUACCUAGUAAAUGUCACAUAUAUGAAAACUAUUAAUUGGAAAAUGAGUUUUAAUUUAAUUCAUUCCGUUUUAAUUAUAUUUUUAAUAUGCAGUUUUUCUUUCCAUGACAGUAAUCAUGUCAUAGGAAGCAGGAGCAGCAUUGAUAACAAUCUACAUUGCUGUAUUUCUUGCUAAGGCUGUACUUGUAUUUUCAAGGUACAAUUUGAAGUAGCUGUUGUGAAGGGCAAGGAAAAGAUAUGCUUUAGAGUUUUAAUUCAUCAGUCUUCUCAUUAAAACUCACAACAGAAUGCAGCAGAAUGCAGCAGAAAACUCCAGGAUGGUAUCAGAGAUUCUGCAGAAACAAGAACAGUUAUGACUACCUCAACCGCAGGAAAAGCUUCAGUGAGAAGACAUGCAUUAUUGACAUUGGAGCAACUGUGCAGGAAGGAGCUGUUGUCUGAAAAAUUGAUUCUCUGGUGUCUACUUCUUGUUCUCCUGUUUCUUAAUCAGGGAAAUGACAUGUGGUGGCUGUGA
rnacentral:lncRNA from 1 species